UGUCUGUCUGUCUCUCUCUGUCUGUCUGUCUGUCUGUCUGUCUGUCUGUCUGUCUGUCUGUCUGUCUGUCUCUCUCUCUCUCUCUGUCUCUCUGUCUCUCUGUCUCUCUGUCUCUGUCUCUCUCUCCCUCUCCCUCUCUCUCUCGUGUGGACUUCUCUCUCUCUCUCUCUCUCUCUCUCUCUCUCUCUCUCUCUCGUGUGGACUUCUCUCUCUCUCUCUCUCUCUCUGUCUCUGUCUCUCUCUCUCGUGUGGUGUCUCUCUCUCUCUGUCUCUCUCUCUCUCUCUCUCUCUCUCUCUCUCUCUCGUAUGGACUUCUCUCUCUCUCUCUCCCUCUCCCUCUCCCUCUCUCUCUCUCUCUCUCUCUCUCUCUCUCUCUCUCUCUCUCUCUCGUGUGGACUUCUCUCUCUCUCUCUCUCUCUCUCUCUCUCGUGUGGUGUCUCUCUCUCGUGUGGUGUCUGUUCCGUCUCCACACAGUGUCUAAAGAGGAGCGCUCUAAGUCUGUGUGUCUGCGGCUCCAGGAUUAACUGUGUGGAUUUGGCACUGACUGACUGACAGCUCUGUCUCACACACACACACACACACACACACACACACAGACACACAGACACACAGACACACAGUCAGGCCAGUGGACAAUAAGAGAAACCAGGGCUCGACUCCACAGUCCUUGUGGUUUGGAGAGACUGUUGAAGAGGUUGAAGGGGUCAACUGCCGGGGGAGUGUUCGAUUGGGACAGUGCUUUGUGCCUCCAGCCCAUCUCUAACAGGGCAUGCUGGACAGCAGAGGAGUCAUCAUGUCUACACACUGAACGGGGUGGGGGGAGGGAGGAAACAAAGCAAAAGGAAUAAAAGUCAAAGUCCGUGGGGAGGUUUCUCUUUAUACCUCAGAAUUUCCUAGGUCCGGGUUCGUGCUGUCUGGGAUAAAUGAUCACUUCAACCAGGCGAGUGUCUCCUGACAAAUCUGAAGUUAGAAUCGCCUUCAGCCUUGACCAAGACUCAGAACCUUCCAUCACCCAGGAUUCUCUGCAUGUGUUCAAGACCUCCAGGGGGACAUAAGUUGGAGAUGCAACAUCCUAGUUAAAAGAUGUGGAGGAGUCGGCGCCGUCUUUCCCUGAUCUGGAACACAGACUGCAGCCGGUGUCUCCCUGCUCCUCUCUGAGAGAGUCAGUCCAGGUUUACAGGGACCACUGUAGGAUGGCCAAGGAGUUCCACCAGGUCAAACAGGAGAUCUCGCUGCUAGAGGACCGCAAGCGUGAGCUGCUGGCCGAGCUGGUGGAGGACGAGCUUGUUGCCGUGGAGAUGGCCUGUCUGGAGGAUGAGUUCCGUGUCCUGUCGGAGGAGAACGCCACGCUGCUCAACGUCCACACUGAGCGCGCUCAGCAACUGGAGACGCUCAGCUCCACCAAUCGGAAUCAGACCAGCCAGGACAGCUCCUCCACGUGACCCCCUGAACUCGACUCGACCCCAAGAGAUGAUGACCUCGCUCGAGACCUUCACAAACUGACGCUACGGGCCCGUAUUCCAAAACUGCUGAUCUAGGAUCAGUUCCCUUCCGUUCAUAAAUUCAUAUUUAUUAUGAUCUAAAAAUGCCAAACGGAUCCUAAAUCAGCACUCUUGCUCUGAGCCUCAACUUGGAUAUGGGCCCUGAAAACAUUACUAUCGGUGGCUGUCAAAUCCUUGCUUCCUCUGUCCUUGUUUCCUUAUCUCCUUUUCUAAGAGCAAUGGAGAAGAGGAUACAAGGUCCCUCGCUUGUUUGGACCUUCUCUUCCAAUGCACUUUGAGAGGAACUCUGAACCAGGGUUUUGGGGCCAGUUCUAUUUCAAUUCCAGCGAUGGGUUCAGAUUUCUAAACUUUUUUAAAAUAUAUUGUUAAUCAUCAGUUAUACCAGAGACAUGAGGAGUGACAUAGUCUGGUUUCUACACCAGAAGUUAAUGGGUAUCCGUAGGAGUAAUGUAUAAGGUUGGGGUCAAGGAUGUUUGAAUAGGAGCCAGGGGACAUUUGGGAGGUGCUGAGUAGAGGAGAGGCGAUCCCAUGAUUAUGGUGGAGAGCUGUGGAUUAGUAAAGAAUGUAGAGGUCAGGUCACGUCACGUUAAGGCAGAAGGAACAGUGUGUUGCCCGCAUUACUUAACUUCCCGUCUAGUGAUAAAGACGUAAUGUUUAGAGAGAAGGAGGAGACUUUGUCUUAUGCAGCUGUAUUGACCCAAUGGGUGAAUAAACUUGGUUUAAGCUUUACUAAUCACCUGUGAGUUUUACUAACAAAACAGUCGUCAAUUCAGGAAGUACACUGAAAUUCUAACUCAAAUUCUUCUUCGUUGCGUUUCAAUGAGCGGAAUUUGGUUUUCUUUCUCAAUUGACUGGAAUUGAAAUGGAAUUAAUCCCAACCCUGCUAAGGAAACAAGGACAGGGGAUGCAAGGACUUAGUAGUAGUAGUAGUAGUAGUAGUAGUAGUAGUAGUAGUAGUAGUAGGCUCUGUGAGUCUCUGGGCUUUGUGGAGACAUACAGGUGGUGUGAUGUGGUCCAAAAUGUUUUCGGGGGGGGGGCUUCCAUGCUCUCUCUUUCUCCCCCUUUCCUGUCCUCCCUCAGUUCCCCAGGUUUAUACUAUACCACCCAGGAUCAACUCUUGAGUUGAUGAUUCUGUAUGAGGUAGAAAUGCAAGACACUGUAAGACAUUAAAUCAUCUGGAUGUUGUGGAGCAAACUGGCUAGAUAUUCUGUAGUGAAGUAAUGUUAACGUUGACAAAGAAAAUGGUAUUUGUUAUUAAAAGAAGGAGUGGGCUAGUGAGAAUGACAAUGUUGGUUUUUAUGGUAAUUCCCUGUAGUAACUGUUAUUAACUGUUGUAAGGAAAACACAAUAUGACAAUGACAGAAUUCUGUAUGUGGCACAAUAAAGUUCUCUAUUAUGAAUUUAAAUUUUUAUAAAAAAAA
rnacentral:lncRNA from 1 species